GGAAGCUAGUCAAUCUUCUACUUUAUUGAUAAAUUGGAAUAUUAAAGCAACGUUGCUAGUCAACAUGACAGUUCUUCCUGAGAAAGAGGCAGUUUGCAGAGCUGUGUAAAACAGAAGUGUCCUUAAACUGUGGUUGGGGAGACAUGAUAUGGCAAAAUGUCUACCAAUAAAGUGGAGCAUUAUAGCACAUUACCCAGUUUAUACAUGCAGGCAAAGCUUCCUUUCUUACGCCAUGUUGGAAAGCCACUAAAGCUUGCAAAUGUGAUGGGAGCCACUAUUUCUGCCUCUGUGCAGCUGUUUAUCAGCAGCUUUUUAACACAUUUUCACAUAUUAAUGAGGUGGCAUAGCAGUUCCAGAAUUAGAAGAGUGGGAUGUAUCAUUGUCUGCUUAUCUGAAGAUAUGCCUGCUGUCAGCUCAGCGUCACUACCGGGCCAGAGCUGCCAGCCUGCAUUCCGUGUAUCAUCAGUUCAGUUGUGUGAAGAAAUCAUUGGCUUGAUCAGCUUCGUUUUAGAAGAUUUCUGAUAUACUGGGAUUUUAUUUUAAUGUUGUUUCCCAAGCUUUUGGAAUCCUGACAAGAGACACCAUCACGUGGGAAAUGUGAAUCUUUUAACCAUCUCUUCAAGACUCCCAGAGACAGAGAUGAGCCUUCUGUUUCCGGUGAUCAUGGGGCCCCAGGAUGAAGCCAGCCUCAAGAUAAUAAGUCAGGUA
rnacentral:lncRNA from 1 species